rnacentral:lncRNA from 1 species
AAACAUUCAACUCUACACGAUUUCCCUUUCUUUGAUCCCUAUCUUUUUCUUUUUCUUUUUCUUUUCAAAUCCACACAACCAUGAGCAUUUUCUUUGCUUUUUUCUUUCUUUUCUUUUUUCUUUGCUCUAUGGUUUCAAGGGUAAUUUCUUUUUCUUGUUUCUUUUCAUAUUUUUACCCUUUCAUAAAAACUCACUUUUCCAAGUUUCUAAUCAACUUUUCACUUUACUCUCCCGAACUUUAGAUUCCAAAACCAAAUUUAUUCAAUAAUGCUCCCUACUUAGACAUAAGCAAAAGGCAAAAUUUUGCAAACAACUCGGUUUGAGG